rnacentral:rRNA from 1 species
CCUACGGGUGGCAGCAGUAGGGGAUCUUUCACAAUGGGGGAAACCCUGAUGCAGCGACGCCGCGUGGGUGAAGAAGCGCCUCGGCGCGUAAAGCCCUGUCAGCAGGGAAGAAAAUGACGGUAACUGACGAAGAAGCCCCGGCUAACUACGUGCCAGCAGCCGCGGUCAUACGUAGGGGGCGAGCGUUAUCCGGAUUGACUGGGUGGAAAGAGGGCGCAGGUGGUGAUGCAAAACAGAGGUGAAAGCCCGGGGCCCAACCCCGGGACUGGUUUUGAAACUGAGUGGCUUGAGUGCAGGAGGGGAAGGUGGAAUUCCUGGUGUAGCGGUGAAAUGCGUAGAUAUCAGGAGGAACACCAGUGGCGAAGGCGGCCUGCUGGACUGCAACUGACGUUGAGGCGCGAAAGCGUGGGGAGCAAACAGGAUUAGAUACCCGUGUAGUC